AUCACAUUGGGUGCUCACUACUAAAAUUGGAAUGAUACAGAGAAGAUUAUCAUGGCCUCUCUGCAAGGAUGACACACAAAUUCAUGAAGCAUUCUAUAUUUUC
rnacentral:snRNA from 1 species